GGACAUGUGCAGCACACUCGCGCUGAACAAAGUAAAGUCUGAUUUUAGGCACCUGGAACUUCUUUACUCAAGAGUUUUUUUGUUUGAAAAUGAGAUGAGAGCAGCAUCAAGCAUAAAAAGCUGCCAAAGCUUUCAGACGCGGAGUCUUCUGAGAUCUGCUACAACCACACAGAAUUAUUCAGUGAAGCUCCUCCCACAACAAUUGCACCUCCAGUGAAGCUCCUCUCAC